AAAUUUUUCUAUGACUAUAGAUUUUUUUUCGUUUCUGGUUCAGAAAGCUUUUGAUUAAUUUGGGCUUUAAUGUAUUUCAAAGUAAAAUUACAUGUUAAUACGUAGUAUUAAUGGCGAGACUCCUGAGGGAGCAGUGCCAGUCGAAGACAGGGCCCCAACACAGAAGCUGACAUAUAGUCAGCUUACAACAAUGUGCCGGUUGGGGUGGCUGAGACGGCACCCUAGGAAGGGACCCGUCAUCAAAAAUUCUAUUUAUAGAAUUUUACAGUAAUGUGCCAGACGGGCAAAGCGAAGCCAUUCAAUACGAAGUAUUGUAUAAAUAGAGAACAGCAG
rnacentral:ncRNA from 1 species